rnacentral:rRNA from 1 species
AUUGAACGCUGGCAGAAUGCUUUACACAUGCAAGUCGAACGGCAGCACGGGGCAACCUGGUGGCGAGUGGCGAACGGGUGAGUAAUACAUCGGAACGUGCCCAAUCGUGGGGGAUAACGUAGCGAAAGUUACGCUAAUACCGCAUACGAUCUACGGAUGAAAGCGGGGGAUCGCAAGACCUCGCGCGAAUGGAGCGGCCGAUGUCAGAUUAGGUAGUUGGUGGGGUAAAGGCUCACAAAGCCGACGAUCUGUAGCCGGUCUGAGAGGACGACCAGCCACACUGGGACUGAGACACGGCCCAGACUCCUACGGGAGGCAGCAGUGGGGAAUUUUGGACAAUGGGCGCAAGCCUGAUCCAGCCAUUCCGCGUGCAGGAUGAAGGCCUUCGGGUUGUAAACUGCUUUUGUACGGAGCGAAAAGGCUCUCUCUAAUACAGGGGGCUCAUGACGGUACCGUAAGAAUAAGCACCGGCUAACUACGUGCCAGCCGCCGCGGUAAUAC